rnacentral:misc_RNA from 1 species
GAAACGCGAUAAGUAAUGUGAAUUGCAGAAUUCAGUGAAUCAUCGAAUCUUUGAACGCACCUUGCGCUCCUUGGUAUUCCGAGGAGCAUGCCUGUUUGAGUGUCAUGGAAUUCUCAACUCUAUUUGCUUUUGUGAAUAGAGCUUGGAUUUGGAGGUUUAUUGCUGGUACUUGUGAUCGGCUCCUCUUGAAUGCAUUAGCUCGAACCUUUGCGGAUCAGCUAUCGGUGUGAUAAUUGUCUACGCCGUUGCAGUGAAGCAUAUCAAUGGGCUCGGCUUCCAAUCGUCCUUUACUGGACAAUGACUUUGACCUUUGACCUCAAAUCAGGUAGGAUUACCCGCUGAACUUAAGC